rfam:Triticum aestivum genome assembly, contig: Triticum_aestivum_CS42_TGACv1_scaffold_222098_3B
UAAAUACUCCCUCCAUCCGAAAAUACUUGUCAUCAAAAUGGAUAAAAGAUAUGUAUCUAAAACUAAAAUACGUCUAGAUACAUUUAUUUUUAUCCAUUUUGAUGACAAGUAUUUCCGGACGGAGGGAGUAUUUG